rnacentral:rRNA from 1 species
AAUGAUGGCCAGGCUGUCUCCACCCGAGACUCAGUGAAAUUGAACUCGCUGUGAAGAUGCAGUGUACCCGCGGCAAGACGGAAAGACCCCGUGAACCUUUACUAUAGCUUGACACUGAACAUUGAGCCUUGAUGUGUAGGAUAGGUGGGAGGCUUUGAAGUGUGGACGCCAGUCUGCAUGGAGCCGGCCUUGAAAUACCACCCUUUAAUGUUUGAUGUUCUAACGUUGGCCCGUAAUCCGGGUUGCGGACAGUGUCUGGUGGGUAGUUUGACUGGGGCGGUCUCCUCCUAAAGAGUAACGGAGGAGCACGAAGGUUGGCUAAUCCUGGUCGGACAUCAGGAGGUUAGUGCAAUGGCAUAAGCCAGCUUGACUGCGAGCGUGACGGCGCGAGCAGGUGCGAAAGCAGGUCAUAGUGAUCCGGUGGUUCUGAAUGGAAGGGCCAUCGCUCAACGGAUAAAAGGUACUCCGGGGAUAACAGGCUGAUACCGCCCAAGAGUUCAUAUCGACGGCGGUGUUUGGCACCUCGAUGUCGGCUCAUCACAUCCUGGGGCUGAAGUAGGUCCCAAGGGUAUGGCUGUUCGCCAUUUAAAGUGGUACGCGAGCUGGGUUUAGAACGUCGUGAGACAGUUCGGUCCCUAUCUGCCGUGGGCGCUGGAGAACUGAGGGGGGCUGCUCCUAGUACGAGAGGACCGGAGUGGACGCAUCACUGGUGUUCGGGUUGUCAUGCCAAUGGCACUGCCCGGUAGCUAAAUGCGGAAGAGAUAAGUGCUGAAAGCAUCUAAGCACGAAACUUGCC